AAGAAAAAAACCGAAAACAAAGAGGGAUGCAACACGAAGACUUUCCUGGAGGUCACCCAUCCUAGUACUACUCUCGCCCAAGCACACUUAACUGCGGUGUUCUGAUAGGAUCAAGUGCAUUAGUGCUGGUAUGAUCGCAUCAGUUACUACAUGCAAUGCAAUCAUAUAUAUUCUUUUUUGAAGACUUUAUGAUCCAUUUGCCGUAGGUCCCACCAGCUAUGUAGGAAUACCCUAUCUCGUUUAUAAGAGCUUUGAUACAUGCAAAAUAUUCGAAAACAAUGUCCGAACAUAUAAUUUUUGUCCCGUAAUAUAGCAAAGAUCACGAAAAGGCCAGAAAAAAUACAUUUCGGUCAAAAUUUGGAGUAGAAAAAAAACCCUUCCUCAUUCAUUGGACAGCUCUUUUUGGGCUUUCCGAAAAGGUAUCACAUGCCAAGUUUGGCCUCACGGUCUAAACCUUAUAGACUCAUACAUUUUUCACAAAAAAAAGAAGAGAAAAACCAAAAAAAAGAGUGAUUAAACACGAGGACUUUCCUGGAGGUCACCCAUCCUAGUACUACUCUCGCCCAAGCACGCUUAACUGCGAAGUUCUGAUGGGAUCUGGUGCAUUAGUGCUGGUAUGAUCGCAUCUGUUACUACAUGCAAUGCAAUCGUAUCUAUUCUUUUUUGAAGAUUUUAUGAUUCAUUUACCGUGGGUCCCACCAG
rnacentral:sRNA from 1 species